rfam:Yersinia mollaretii ATCC 43969 contig01559, whole genome shotgun sequence.
CCAUCAUCACCAUCAUCCUGACUAGUCUUGCAGGCCGAUGUGUGCUGGAAGACGGUUAACGAAUCUUCCAGGUGGCGGUAGAACGCAAUAGAGAAAGCCCUCGGAAGAUUAUCUUCCGAGGGCUUUUUUGU